CCUUGCUUACCCCCACCCCCACCCCACAAUAAUAGGUAUAAGGUAGAAAUUUACAUACAGGAAAAUGCAUAGAUCUUCAGUGUACAGAUCAAAAAAUUUAAAUCUGUUUACACUUGGGAAACCAACAUCCUAAUUAAGGUACAAAUUACUCUUGUCAUCCCUAAAGUUUCCUUGGCUGCCUUCAGACAUGUGGCCCCAUUUUGUCUGGCCUCUUUGCAUGUAUUCCUGUGCAUAUUUUGGGCUUUCCCGGUGGCUCAGCUGGAAAAGAAUCUGCCUGCAAUGUGGGAGGCCUGGGUUCUAUCCCUGUGCACAUUUUACCUCUCCUUCUCGCAUUUUUAUCCUUCUUAUGUGUGUGCUUGGGCUUCCCUGGUGGCUCAGAAGUUAAAGCUUCUGCCUGCAAUGCAGGAGACCCGGGUUCGAUCCCUGGGUUGGGAAGAUCCCCUGGAGAAGGAAAUGGCACCCCACUCCAGUAUUCUGGCCUGGAGAAUCCCAUGGAGGGAGGAGCCUGGUGGGCUACAGUCCAUGGGGUCGCAAAGAGUCAGACACGACUGAGCUACUUCACUCACUUUCACUUUCACUGUGUGUACAGGAGAGAGAGACCCUCAGAGAGAGAGAGAGAAGUAAGGAGAGAGAGGAUGGAUGGGGAAUGACUUGUGUGAGUGUGGACAGAGAAAGGAAGCCAGACUUGACUGCAUCCUGCUGGCUGGGGGCACAGAGGAACCGUUGGUUUUCGCUUUGUCUCUAUCUACACUCUUUCCAAGUGGCCCCCUGAGCUCUUUAUAAACACCGGCAUUCUGGCUGAGAAAGACUUGCCUACAUCCAAGGGUGGCAGAGGGGAACAGGAGACACAGUGUUGGUCUGGGAACUGCCCUUCAGCCCACAGGAAAUCAGCUCAAGUGAGUUUUGUCUCUGUCAGUCAUCCUCCUGGUUUUUUUUUUUUUUUUUUUCACCCUGGGGAGAACAAAUUAGCAUGCCAGCAGAAGACAGGGGAGCCCACAGGGCCCAAGGCUGCCAUGCUGGGGCGUGAGUUAGAGGGCUUGUCUCCAGGCCAACAGGUACCGCAUUUUGUCCACCCUGUGGAGGUCCUACUGGCGUGCCAUGUGAGGCAGUGGGGGUUUGAGGGGCAAGACCCGUCACUGUCUUUGAGGGGCUUGCACUGAGUUGGCAGAAGACACACUUGAAAUGUUUGAGUGGGAUAUAAUUAACUACCAAGCGAGACUACAUCAGCCCUGCCUCCUCUCAGAGAGGAGCACCCAUGUGUUGCCAAGACACUCAGGCAAACCAGCCUGGUUGCUGCCUGAGGGGAGACCUGAUGUGGAGAUUCUGGCACUUAACAAAUUCUAAUCAAACAUAUACCACUCAUCAAGCCCUGUUCUAGGUAAUAGCAGUAAGCAGAAGAUAGAAGGAAAUGCUAUAGUUAGUUGUCGUCAUUCAGUAGCUAAGUGGUGUCAGAGUUUGACCCCAUAGACUGCAGCAUACCAGGUUCCUCCGUCCUCCAAUAUCUCCCAGAGUUUGCUCAGAUUCAUGUCCAUUAAGUCAGUGAUACCAUGUAACCAUCUCAUCCUCUGCCACCCACUUCUUUUGCCUUCAGUCUUUGCCAGUAUCAGGGUCUUUUCCAAUGAAUCAGUGCUAUAGCUAUAGCUAGGACCUUGAUUUCAGUAAGAUUUCUUAUAAUUUUUUCACAUUAUUGUUAUUAUUAUUUUUUUGGCCAUGCUAUGUGGCUUGUUGGAUCUUAGUUCCACUGGACUGCCAGGGAAGGCCCUCAUAUUAUUAUUAUGGAUAAUAUGAAGAAAUGUGGGCUGAAUGGUGCAGUAAGGAAGACACCGUAACUAACACAUGAUUCAGCCUACAAAGGAUGUUGAUCAGUUUCAACCUGGGUGGAGGUCUCCAGUAGGCUCUGGUUUUGGAAAUGUCUCCCUCAAUUUUCCCGUGCAAAUUUAUAAAACACGAUAUAAAAACACCCAUAACUUUCUAUAUUAACCAGUUGUUAAAACUCUGCCACAGUAGCGCUCACACUCUUUCUAAUACACAAAUGCACCCUCACAACCCACUUGUUUUGGCUUAAGCGUAUGAAAGUAAGCUGUAGACAUCAUGAUACGUCGACAGACCUCAGCAGGCAUCUCCAAAGAACAAUGACAUUCUCCUAAGAACACAGUACCAUUAUUGUACCUAAGAAAAUGAACAAUAAUGCCAUAAUAUCAUCUGAUACACAGUGUGUGUUAAAAUUUCUCAGUUGCUCUGUGGCCUUUUUUUUUCCCUUCAGGAUUUCAAUCAAGGUUCACAUAUUGCAUUUGAUUAUCAUGUCUUUUUCAUUUUCUUCUUCUUUUUUUUCUUCUUUUUUGUUUUCUAUCCUAAAACAGUGCUCUUGUCCUUUUUGUCUUUUCAUCAGUUUGACCUUUUUGAAGAGUCCAAGCUAUUUGUCUUGUAGAAGCUGAAUGUUUCCUGUUGCAUCCUCAUGAUUAGAUCUGGGUUACGUACUUUUGAUACAAUUGUUGAUGAGUUGUGUACUUUUUAUUGAAUCAUAUCAGGAGGUGAAUGAUAUCAGGUAGUCCCACUACCAAUGAUGUUACUUUUGGCCACUUGAUUAAUAUGGUGGCCACUGGGGGGAAAAAAAGAUAGUGGUGUGCUCCCUUAGAGAAACAUUUUCCCACUGGUCAUUAGUAAGUCAUCUGUGGGUCAGACUUUGAGACUUUGUUUCCUUUUUGGGUUUUUUUUUUUGGCUGUACCACACAGCAUGUAGGAUUUUAGUUCCCCAACCAAGGAUCAAACCCACGCUUCCUACAGUGGAAGCUUUGAAUCUCAGCCACUGGACAACCAGGGAAAUGUCAGAGAUCUUGUUAACAUAGUUUCCUAACAAUCUUCCACCCAAAGGUUUAGCAUCCAUUAGUUAUCCUUGCUUGAAUCUAGAUUUUCUAAGUCUAUCAUUUCCUCUACGUCUAUCAGGCAGCAGUUUUCUAUAGAGAAAAUUGUUCCUUCUAGCCCUUUUCUUUCUCUCUCUGCUUUGCUGAGUUUUACUGUAGACUAAUGGAUUGUUUCGUUUUUAUGCAUUAGAAUCCAUUAUUACUUCAUUAUGCUUUCUGAUGCUCAAAUGGUCCCAAGUUUGGUCAUCAAGCUGGCCCUAUAUCCUUUUGACAUGACCCCAUUAGUCUUUAGUCACUUCCUUGUUUUCUGGCCCAACACAAUGUCCCAGGUUCACUUUGUACUUUCCCUUUCAUUUCUCCAGGGAGUUCUGUUGCCUUUUAUGGAAGAGUGAUAUUUAGACACCAAGAAGUGGGUGCUAGGUCUGCUCAUCUAAUAUUUUUAUCAGUGACUUGAAUAAUGGUCAAGAAUGCUGAUCAGAUUUAUACAUGACUCAAAACUGGGAGGGGAAGCCAAGUGUAUGAUAGAAUCAAUAUUCACAAUGACCUCUACAGGAUGAGAUCUGGACCAGAACCGAUGUAAAGGAGAUCAAUACAAAGUCUUGUGUGCAGGUUAAAAAAGUUAAUUGCAUCAUUUCUGGUUUCAGGGAAUUCCAGACCAAAGUUGAUAUCAAAAAGGAGCUCCAGUUGUCAGUUGACAUGGGCCUGCAGUAUUGGACUCUGAGGCUGCAUUCAUUUAUUCAUUCACUCAGCCAGUACUGACUGAGAGUUAACCAUAUGGCAGACACUGUUCUAGAGGCUACAGAUAGCUUACUUAACCAGCCAAAGGAGCAAAAAUACUUGCCCUCCUCAGUCAAGAUUUUUUGAGGGUAAGAAGGCAGGUAGGAGGUUCAGACAAUAAAGAAAAACCACAACAAAUAAGCAAAUCAUAGAGUGUAUUAGAAGAUGAUGAGCACUUCAAAAAAACAUCUCAGGGAAAGGAGAAUAUUGGGCGAACUUCAGAUUCUUCAAGAAGGUGAUCGUCUUUCUUUUUUUUAAUUGGAGUAUAAUUGAUUUACACUGUUGUUUUAGUUUCAAGAGCACAGGAAAGUGAAUCUUUUAUACAAAAUCCUGCAUCCACUCUUUUUUAGAUUUUUUUCUUUUCCCAUAUAGGUCAUUACAGAGUAUUGAGUAGAAUUUCCGGUGCUAAGUCCUUAUUAGUUAUCUGUUUUGUACAUAGUGGUAUGUAUGUGUCAGACCCAAUCUUCCAAUUUAUCCCUCCCUCCCCUCUACCCUGCAACCAUAAGUUUAUUUUCUACAUCUGUAACUCUAUUUCAGUUUUGUAGAUAAAUUCAUUUGUAGCCUUUUUAUAUUUAUUUUUAAUUGGAGGAUAAUUGCUUUAAAUGUUGUAUUGGUUUUUGCUGUACAACAAAGUAAAUCACCCUCAAGUAUACAUAUAUCCCUUCCCUCUGGAACCUCCAUCUCACCCCUCUAAGUUGUCACAGAGCGCUGGGUUGAGCCUCCAGUGUUACACAGCAACUUCCUAUUAGCUAUCUGUUUCACAUAUGGUAAUGUAUAGGUUUCAAUUCAUUCCACCCUCUCCUUCCCAGCUGUGACCACAAGUCUGUUGUAGCCUUUUUUUAGAUUCCACAUAUGAACAACAUCAUAUGAUAUUUGUCUUUUUGUCUGACUUAACUUCACUCAGUAUGAUAAUCUCUAGGUGCAUCCAUGUUGCUGCAGAUGACAUUAUUUUGUUCUUUUUUUGUGACGAAGAAGGUGAUCUUUGAGGAAAGAUUUGAAGGAAACGAGAAACGCAAUCACUUUCUGGGUAGAGAACUCCAGGCAGAGGGAGGAGCCAGGGCAAAGGUCUUAACACAAGCGUGUUCGUCCACGUGAAUGCCUGGGGUAGAGUGACUGAGGGGUGGGGAGAGCAAUGGAUGAUGCAGUGGGCGUGGGGGCGAGGUAACCUGGAGCCUUGCACACUACUGUAAGAACCACUGGAGGGUUUCGAGCACAGGAGUGCCAUGACCUGACUUUGUUUUUGAAAAGCUCAUUGGCUGCUGAGUUGAGAACAGUUUGAGAACAGCUCAAGGGUAGUCAAAGUGAAAGUCGCUCAGUCGUGUCCGACCAUUUGUGACCACAUAGACUAGAGUCCAUGGAAUUCUCCAGUAUUCUUGCCUGGAGAAUCCCAUGGACAGAAGGGCCUGGUGGGCUACAGUCCAUGGUGUCGCAGAGUCAGACAGGACCCAAGCACCACACGAGGCAUGCACGAAAUCCUGUGCUCACUUGAGAAAAGCUGAACUGGGCGUCCUAAAUGUUCCCUAUCCUUUCUAUGAUCUUUGCACUUUGAUAUCUUCCAUUCAGUUUCUUUGUUUUAAUGUUAAUAGGGAUUCACUAUUGGAGAAGGAAAUGGCAACCCGCUCCAGUGUUCUUGCCUGGAGAAUCCCAGGGACUGUGGAGCUUGAUGGGCUGCCGUCUAUGGGGUCGCACAGAGUCGGACACGACUGAAGCGCUUAGCAGCAGCAGCAGCAGAGAUCCACUAAGGGAUCCUGUGCGCAGUUUGAAAACCCUGGUCUCAGCACAACUGAACUCCACCCCUGGGGACGCACGAGGACCGGGGGUGGGUGCUCUGGGAUUCCAGCCUUAGGGAGUACUAUCCGCUCCAGGCCAUGUGCAGUUGUGGAGAAGUCUCACGUCCUUGGCAGUACAUUAAAUCCUAUUAUCCCACUUAAGCUAAUUUUGCCCGGAUUCCCCCCCAUCCGAGGUCUGGCUUCGUGUGAACAGAAUUCCAAGCGUGGAUGACCACGCGGGCAUCUAGAUUAAGUGUCAAGCCUGGAGUGAACCCUCAGCCAAGACCUAAAAUGGACCAACCCAUGCAAAAAUUAGGUGCAGAAGCAGCUAGCCCCGGAGUCCGCAGCAGCUCGGCGGAGUUCAUUUGGUUACCGAUAUGUGGGUGCCAGGAGCACUGGAGGCGGGGGGGGGACGGGAGGCGGCAGGGAUAAAGGGAGAAGACACGCGCUCACAGUGGAGAGACCCACACGUAUUCC
ensembl:lncRNA